CGGACGAACGCUAGCGGCGUGCCUAAGAAAUGCAAGUUGAGCGAGGUGAUGGACUUCGGUCUGUUUACCUAGCAGCGAACGGUCGCGUAACACGUACGCAACUUUCCCAAAACUGGUGAAUAGCCCUCCGAAAGGAGGAUUAAUACACCGUAACAUAAUGAAGUGGCAUCACUUUAUUAUUAUAGCUCCGGCGGUUUUGGAUGGGCGUGCGCCUGAUUAGGUAGUUGGCGGGGUAACGGCCCACCAAGCCUGCGAUCAGUAACUGGUGUGAGAGCACGACCAGUCACACGGGCACUGAGACACGGGCCCGACUCCUACGGGAGGCAGCAGUGGGGAAUAUUGCGCAAUGGGGGGAACCCUGACGCAGCAACGCCGCGUGAGUGAAGAAGGUCUUCGGAUCGUAAAACUCUGUCAUAGGGGAAGAAGGAGAUGACGGUACCCUAUGAGGAAGCCCCGGCUAACUACGUG
rnacentral:rRNA from 1 species